rnacentral:tRNA from 1 species
GACUAAAGUAGUUUAACAAAAAUAUCAGACUGUGGCACUGAAGAAGCCAGUUAGAAUCUGGCCUUAAGUC